CACGCGGAUACGGCGGCGGGUAAUUCCCGCCGAGAGUGAUCUUAGGGAUAGCGCCACAGAGAACAGUCUGCCGAAAGCGCCUCGGCUCCUUCGGGAACCUUGGGCGCAGGCGAUGGUGAAACGGUGGGGUAAGAGCCCACCGCGCCGACCGUAAGGAAGGCGGCACGGCAAGCCCCGCCGGGAGCAAGACCGAAUAGGGAUGCGAUGGCCCCUGCCAAGGGGUACGGCCCGUCCGUGGGAGCGCAUCCGGGUAGGUCGCGAGAACCGUGCGGCGACGCACGGUCCAGAGGAAUGGUCGUCAUCCGCCGAAGCGAAAGCGAAGGCGGGUACAGAACCCGGCUUACAGGCCGACUGGCGUU
rnacentral:RNase_P_RNA from 1 species